GAUGAACGCUGGCGGCGUGCCUAAUACAUGCAAGUAGAACGCUGAAGGAAGGAGCUUGCUCUUUCCGGAUGAGUUGCGAACGGGUGAGUAACGCGUAGGUAACCUGCCUGGUAGCAGGGGAUAACUAUUGGAAACGAUAGCUAAUACCGCAUAACAGUAGAUGUUGCAUGAUAUCUACUUAAAAGGUGCAAUUGCACCACUACCAGAUGGACCUGCGUUGUAUUAGCUAGUUGGUGAGGUAACGGCUCACCAAGGCGACGAUACAUAGCCGACCUGAGAGGGUGAUCGGCCACACUGGGACUGAGACACGGCCCAGACUCCUACGGGAGGCAGCAGUAGGGAAUCUUCGGCAAUGGACGGAAGUCUGACCGAGCAACGCCGCGUGAGUGAAGAAGGUUUUCGGAUCGUAAAGCUCUGUUGUAAGAGAAGAACGAGUGUGAGAGUGGAAAGUUCACACUGUGACGGUAUCUUACCAGAAAGGGACGGCUAACUACGUG
rnacentral:rRNA from 1 species